GCGUCAUCAAAUUAUAAUAGGCUACAUCAGUUGUAGCCUGUUACUGCCCGUGAUGAUCACAGCCUUGACAUACUCCUCAAAGCAUCGGUAAUAAUCAGUACUUACAGACGCGGAUAAGCUUGCAACUAAGCCGUUUUGAACAGCUUAUGUGAAGCUCAAAAAGAAACGACUGAGCUCCGCAUUCCGACCUGAAUACGCGGAGUGUAAUGCAGCCUGCCGUGCCCGGCACUCGGCACCUCCAGGUCCUGACAGGUGUGCAUGUCUAUGGAAAACACAACGCCAUGGAAACCACCACAAAAACGCAAGUCGGCCGCCCUUCCACCGAACCCUGAUCCGGACAGAUUAGAAAGAAGAGAUUGCUUUCUAAAGACUGCAUGGAGAUGCUUGAUUGAUUGAUGCUGUUCUCGCCACAAAUGGCUCUCAAUGCAGCCAUAAUACAGAAUCUUGGAGUGGAUGAAUGUGGUCUCUGCUGACUGUGGGAACAAUAAAAUAAGACGCUUUUCUAA